CCUACGGGAGGCAGCAGUGGGGAAUUUUGGACAAUGGGCGCAAGCCUGAUCCAGCUAUUCCGCGUGUGGGAUGACGGCCCUCGGGUUGUAAACCACUUUAGUAGAGAACGAAAAGGAGCUAUCGAAUAAAUAGCUCUGCUGACGGUACUCUAAGAAUAAGCACCGGCUAACUACGUGCCAGCAGCCGCGGUAAUACGUAGGGUGCGAGCGUUAAUCGGAAUUACUGGGCGUAAGGGGUGUGCAGGCGGCUGGGUAAGACGGAUGUGAAAUCCCCGGGCUUAACCUGGGAACAGCAUAUGUGAUGGCUUGGCUAGAGGGCGUAGGGGGGAAGGGGAAUUCCACGGGUAGCAGUGAAAUG
rnacentral:rRNA from 1 species